GAUGAACGCUGGCGGCGUGCCUAAUACAUGCAAGUCGAGCGAACAGAUAAGGAGCUUGCUCCUUUGACGUUAGCGGCGGAAGGGUGAGUAACACGUGGAUAACCUACCUAUAAGACUGGGAUAACUUCGGGAAACCGGAGCUAAUACCGGAUAACAUAUUGAACCGCAUGGUUCAAUAGUGAAAGGCGGCUUUGCUGUCACUUAUAGAUGGAUCCGCGCCGUAUUAGCUAGUUGGUAAGGUAACGGCUUACCAAGGCAACGAUCCGUAGCCGACCUGAGAGGGUGAUCGGCCACACUGGAACUGAGACACGGUCCAGACUCCUACGGGAGGCAGCAGUAGGGAAUCUUCCGCAAUGGGCGAAAGCCUGACGGAGCAACGCCGCGUGAGUGAUGAAGGUCUUCGGAUCGUAAAACUCUGUUAUCAGGGAAGAACAAAUGUGUAAGUAACUGUGCACAUCUUGACGGUACCUGAUCAGAAAGCCACGGCUAACUACGUG
rnacentral:rRNA from 1 species